rnacentral:tRNA from 1 species
GUGGGGGUGGCCCAGCCUGGCAAGGCGGUGGAUUGCUAAUCCACUGUCACUUGUGACUCGGGAGUUCGAAUCUCCCCCUCCACGCCA